UGAAGAGUUUGAUCAUGGCUCAGAUUGAACGCUGGCGGCAGGCUUAACACAUGCAAGUCGAGCGGUAACAGGGGGUGCUUGCACCCCGCUGACGAGCGGCGGACGGGUGAGUAAUGCAUAGGAAACUGCCCAGUAGUGGGGGAUAGCCCGGGGAAACCCGGAUUAAUACCGCGUACGCCCUUCGGGGGAAAGCAGGGGAUCUUCGGACCUUGCGCUAUUGGAUGUGCCUAUGUCGGAUUAGCUAGUUGGUGGGGUAAAGGCCUACCAAGGCGACGAUCCGUAGCUGGUCUGAGAGGAUGAUCAGCCACAUCGGGACUGAGACACGGCCCGAACUCCUACGGGAGGCAGCAGUGGGGAAUAUUGGACAAUGGGGGCAACCCUGAUCCAGCCAUGCCGCGUGUGUGAAGAAGGCUUUCGGGUUGUAAAGCACUUUCAGUGAGGAGGAAAACUCUGCGACUAAUACUCGUAGGGCUUGACGUUACUCACAGAAGAAGCACCGGCUAACUCCGUGCCAGCAGCCGCGGUAAUACGGAGGGUGCAAGCGUUAAUCGGAAUUACUGGGCGUAAAGCGCGCGUAGGUGGU
rnacentral:rRNA from 1 species